UUAAGUUAUUAAGGGCGCACGGUGGAUGCCUUGGCACUAGAAGCCGAUGAAGGACGUUACUAACGACGAUAUGCUUUGGGGAGCUGUAAGUAAGCUUUGAUCCAGAGAUUUCCGAAUGGGGAAACCCAGCAUGAGUUAUGUCAUGUUAUCGAUAUGUGAAUACAUAGCAUAUCAGAAGGCACACCCGGAGAACUGAAACAUCUUAGUACCCGGAGGAAGAGAAAGAAAAUUCGAUUCCCUUAGUAGCGGCGAGCGAAACGGGAAGAGCCCAAACCAACAAGCUUGCUUGUUGGGGUUGUAGGACACUCUAUACGGAGUUACAAAGGACGACAUUAGACGAAUCAUCUGGAAAGAUGAAUCAAAGAAGGUAAUAAUCCUGUAGUCGAAAAUGUUGUCUCUCUUGAGUGGAUCCUGAGUACGACGGAGCACGUGAAAUUCCGUCGGAAUCUGGGAGGACCAUCUCCUAAGGCUAAAUACUCUCUAGUGACCGAUAGUGAACCAGUACCGUGAGGGAAAGGUGAAAAGCACCCCGGAAGGGGAGUGAAAUAGAACCUGAAACCGUGUGCUUACAAGUAGUCAGAGCCCGUUAAUGGGUGAUGGCGUGCCUUUUGUAGAAUGAACCGGCGAGUUACGAUUUGAUGCAAGGUUAAGCAGUAAAUGUGGAGCCGUAGCGAAAGCGAGUCUGAAUAGGGCGUUUAGUAUUUGGUCGUAGACCCGAAACCAGGUGAUCUACCCUUGGUCAGGUUGAAGUUCAGGUAACACUGAAUGGAGGACCGAACCGACUUACGUUGAAAAGUGAGCGGAUGAACUGAGGGUAGCGGAGAAAUUCCAAUCGAACCUGGAGAUAGCUGGUUCUCUCCGAAAUAGCUUUAGGGCUAGCCUCAAGUGAUGAUUAUUGGAGGUAGAGCACUGUUUGGACGAGGGGCCCCUCUCGGGUUACCGAAUUCAGACAAACUCCGAAUGCCAAUUAAUUUAACUUGGGAGUCAGAACAUGGGUGAUAAGGUCCGUGUUCGAAAGGGAAACAGCCCAGACCACCAGCUAAGGUCCCAAAAUAUAUGUUAAGUGGAAAAGGAUGUGGCGUUGCCCAGACAACUAGGAUGUUGGCUUAGAAGCAGCCAUCAUUUAAAGAGUGCGUAAUAGCUCACUAGUCGAGUGACACUGCGCCGAAAAUGUACCGGGGCUAAACAUAUUACCGAAGCUGUGGAUUGUCCUUUGGACAAUGGUAGGAGAGCGUUCUAAGGGCGUUGAAGCAUGAUCGUAAGGACAUGUGGAGCGCUUAGAAGUGAGAAUGCCGGUGUGAGUAGCGAAAGACGGGUGAGAAUCCCGUCCGCCGAUUGACUAAGGUUUCCAGAGGAAGGCUCGUCCGCUCUGGGUUAGUCGGGUCCUAAGCUGAGGCCGACAGGCGUAGGCGAUGGAUAACAGGUUGAUAUUCCUGUACCACCUAUAAUCGUUUUAAUCGAUGGGGGGACGCAGUAGGAUAGGCGAAGCGUGCGAUUGGAUUGCACGUCUAAGCAGUAAGGCUGAGUAUUAGGCAAAUCCGGUACUCGUUAAGGCUGAGCUGUGAUGGGGAGAAGACAUUGUGUCUUCGAGUCGUUGAUUUCACACUGCCGAGAAAAGCCUCUAGAUAGAAAAUAGGUGCCCGUACCGCAAACCGACACAGGUAGUCAAGAUGAGAAUUCUAAGGUGAGCGAGCGAACUCUCGUUAAGGAACUCGGCAAAAUGACCCCGUAACUUCGGGAGAAGGGGUGCUCUUUAGGGUUAACGCCCAGAAGAGCCGCAGUGAAUAGGCCCAAGCGACUGUUUAUCAAAAACACAGGUCUCUGCUAAACCGUAAGGUGAUGUAUAGGGGCUGACGCCUGCCCGGUGCUGGAAGGUUAAGAGGAGUGGUUAGCUUCUGCGAAGCUACGAAUCGAAGCCCCAGUAAACGGCGGCCGUAACUAUAACGGUCCUAAGGUAGCGAAAUUCCUUGUCGGGUAAGUUCCGACCCGCACGAAAGGCGUAACGAUUUGGGCACUGUCUCAACGAGAGACUCGGUGAAAUCAUAGUACCUGUGAAGAUGCAGGUUACCCGCGACAGGACGGAAAGACCCCGUGGAGCUUUACUGUAGCCUGAUAUUGAAAUUCGGCACAGCUUGUACAGGAUAGGUAGGAGCCUUUGAAACGUGAGCGCUAGCUUACGUGGAGGCGCUGGUGGGAUACUACCCUAGCUGUGUUGGCUUUCUAACCCGCACCACUUAUCGUGGUGGGAGACAGUGUCAGGCGGGCAGUUUGACUGGGGCGGUCGCCUCCUAAAAGGUAACGGAGGCGCUCAAAGGUUCCCUCAGAAUGGUUGGAAAUCAUUCAUAGAGUGUAAAGGCAUAAGGGAGCUUGACUGCGAGACCUACAAGUCGAGCAGGGUCGAAAGACGGACUUAGUGAUCCGGUGGUUCCGCAUGGAAGGGCCAUCGCUCAACGGAUAAAAGCUACCCCGGGGAUAACAGGCUUAUCUCCCCCAAGAGUUCACAUCGACGGGGAGGUUUGGCACCUCGAUGUCGGCUCAUCGCAUCCUGGGGCUGUAGUCGGUCCCAAGGGUUGGGCUGUUCGCCCAUUAAAGCGGUACGCGAGCUGGGUUCAGAACGUCGUGAGACAGUUCGGUCCCUAUCCGUCGUGGGCGUAGGAAAUUUGAGAGGAGCUGUCCUUAGUACGAGAGGACCGGGAUGGACAUACCUCUGGUGUACCAGUUGUCGUGCCAACGGCAUAGCUGGGUAGCUAUGUGUGGACGGGAUAAGUGCUGAAAGCAUCUAAGCAUGAAGCCCCCCUCAAGAUGAGAUUUCCCAACUUCGGUUAUAAGAUCCCUCAAAGAUGAUGAGGUUAAUAGGUUCGAGGUGGAAGCAUGGUGACAUGUGGAGCUGACGAAUACUAAUCGAUCGAAGACUUAAUCAA
rnacentral:rRNA from 1 species